AGUUUUAUAUUCAAAAAUGAUUUUAAAUUGCAAAUUUAAAGGUGGUAAUAUAUCUAAAACUU
rnacentral:tRNA from 1 species